GAUGAACGCUGGCUACAGGCUUAACACAUGCAAGUCGAGGGGAAACGGCAUUGAGUGCUUGCACUGAAUGGACGUCGACCGGCGCACGGGUGAGUAACGCGUAUCCAACCUUCCCGUUACUGCGGGAUAACCUGCCGAAAGGCAGACUAAUACCGCAUGUUCUUCGAUGACGGCAUCAGAUUCGAAGCAAAGAUCCGUCGGUAACGGAGGGGGAUGCGUCUGAUUAGCUAGUUGGCGGGGCGACGGCCCACCAAGGCGACGAUCAGUAGGGGUUCUGAGAGGAAGGUCCCCCACAUUGGAACUGAGACACGGUCCAAACUCCUACGGGAGGCAGCAGUGAGGAAUAUUGGUCAAUGGGCGGAAGCCUGAACCAGCCAAGCAGCGUGCAGGAUGACGGCCCUACGGGUUGUAAACUGCUUUUAUGCGGGGAUAAAGUGAGGGACGCGUCCCUUUUUGCAGGUACCGCAUGAAUAAGGACCGGCUAAUUCCGUG
rnacentral:rRNA from 1 species